rnacentral:rRNA from 1 species
AUUGAACGCUGGCGGCAGGCCUAACACAUGCAAGUCGAACGGUAACAGGAAGCAUCUUGCUUCUUUGCUGACGAGUGGCGGACGGGUGAGUAAUGUCUGUGAAACUGCCUGAUGGAGGGGGAUAACUACUGGAAACGGUUGCUAAUACCGCAUAACGUCGCAAGACCAAAGAGGGGGGGCUUCGGGCCUCUUGCCAUCGGAUGUGCCCGGAUGGGUUUAGCUAGUAGGUGGGGGAACGGCUCACCUAGGUGACGAACGCUACCUGGUCUGAGAGGAUGACCAGCCACACUGGAACGGAGACACGGUCCAGACUCCUACGGGAGGCAGCAGUGGGGAAUAUUGCACAAUGGGCGCAAGCCUGAUGCAGCCAUGCCGCGUGUAUGAAGAAGGCCUUCGGGUUGUAAAGUACCUUCAGCGGGGAGGAAGGGAGUAAAGUUAAUACCUUUGCUCAUUGACGUUACCCGCAGAAGAAGCACCGGCUAACUCCGUG